ACUCCUGCGGGAGGCAGCAGUGGGGAAUUUUGGACAAUGGGCGAAAGCCUGAUCCAGCAAUGCCGCGUGAGUGAAGAAGGCCUUCGGGUUGUAAAGCUCUUUUGUCAGGGAAGAAACGGUGAAAGCUAAUAUCUUUUGCUAAUGACGGUACCUGAAGAAUAAGCACCGGCUAACUACGUGCCAGCAGCCGCGGUAAUACGUAGGGUGCAAGCGUUAAUCGGAAUUACUGGGCGUAAAGCGUGCGCAGGCGGUUUUGUAAGUCUGAUGUGAAAUCCCCGGGCUCAACCUGGGAAUUGCAUUGGAGACUGCAAGGCUAGAAUCUGGCAGAGGGGGGUAGAAUUCCACGUGUAGCAGUGAAAUGCGUAGAUAUGUGGAGGAACACCGAUGGCGAAGGCAGCCCCCUGGGUCAAGAUUGACGCUCAUGCACGAGAGCGUGGGGAGCAAACAGGAUUAGAAACCCCAGUAGUCCCA
rnacentral:rRNA from 1 species